rnacentral:sRNA from 1 species
AGCUUCGUAAGUAGCGCACUCCUCCUCCCAGCGCUCUUACGCAGACUGGUAACACUCCUCCUCCCAGUUGCCAGUCAGAUCAAGAGCCCGGUGCACCUCCUCCCGCACCGGGCUCUUUUC